rnacentral:rRNA from 1 species
GACGAACGCUGGCGGCGUGCUUAACACAUGCAAGUCGAACGGAAAGGCCCUGCUUUUGUGGGGUGCUCGAGUGGCGAACGGGUGAGUAACACGUGAGUAACCUGCCCUUGACUUUGGGAUAACUUCAGGAAACUGGGGCUAAUACCGGAUAGGAGCUCCUGCUGCAUGGUGGGGGUUGGAAAGUUUCGGCGGUUGGGGAUGGACUCGCGUCUUAUCAGCUUGUUGGUGGGGUAGUGGCUUACCAAGGCUUUGACGAGUAGCCGGCCUGAGAGGGUGACCGGCCAGACUGGGACUGAGACACGGCCCAGACUCCUAGGGGAGGGAGCAGUGGGGAAUAUUGGACAAUGGGGUCAAACCUGAUCCAGCCGUGCCGGGUGAGGGAUGAAGGCCUGAGGGUUGUAAAGCUCUUUGGUCCGAGAAGAGAAUGACGGUACCGGAAGAAUAAGCCCCGGCUAACUUCGUG